rnacentral:misc_RNA from 1 species
CAGAAUAUAAAAUCAUAUUUCAUCAGUACCGUUUCAUGCGUAUCCAAAGCUAAUAAUAUAUUUAUAAGAUCUUAAUUUCAUAAACAUUUAAUAAAAUCCUACAAACAACAGCAAAACAGGAUAUUAAUAUGAUUUCCAGCAUCAAUUCAAAAUCAACAAAUCAAAAACCUGUUAGACUUGGAUUAUCCAGAAAAUGAACAUUAUCAUUGCACAUCAGAAAUUACUAAUUAUAUCACACAGGUUGAGCAGGGAAACACCUUAAAAACUACAGUAGGAUCCUCGUCAAAUUCUAGUAAUCCUAGAAUGCCCGACAAUACAUCAAACAGGCUAGAGUAAUCAAAUCACAAACUAAUUGAAAGCCUUAGCCACAAAAUCAAAAUCAUUCAUUCUAUUGCAUAAGAAAAUGCAUUAUAAAGCUAAAAUCCAAAGCAUUAUCCAAAAAAAGGCUAAAAUAAUAAACAUUACAUCUCCUCAUUCAUGUAAAACUUCAAUAAUUCAUAGAACUUGAUAAGGCCCAUAAACAAAAACCCAGAAUCUGGAGAAGCAUCAAAAAAAAAAAGCACAAAUAUCCAUUUCUUUAGUCCACUCAAUCAAGAGGAAUCUCGACCUCACCAUCAGUAAUCUCCUGCUGAAGAUCUUUCGGGUUCUUCCCAUCAACUGUACACCCAACAGACACGCAAGUGCCCAAUAUCUCCUUGACGGUCCCGCUCAAGUCCUUAGCCAUCGAUCUGGGCCGCAUUACCUUAGCAAUCUCAAUCACAUCAUCCAGCGAAAUGUUCCCACUGUGCUUAAUAUUCUUCGUCUUCUUCCUAUCACGCUCAGGCUCCUUCAAUGCCUUGAUCACAAGAGCAGCAGCGGAAGGAACCACCGUGACCUUAGCUUGACGGUUCUGGACAGUAAGCUUGACGGUGACACGUAAACCCUUCCAGUCCUUGGCCGUUUCCUUGGCAAUAUCUUCACCAAUCUUCUUGGGAGAGAGACCAAGAGGACCAAUCUUUGGAGCGAGAGAUGAUGCUGCUCCGACCUCACCUCCGGUGACCCUGACGAAAACGUCCACCACCUGACUUGGGUCGAACUUUGGCGGCAUAGUUUGGCCUGAGAUUGGGUGUUAAGGGGAUAAAGACAGCUACAAAAACGAAGGUGGUUAUAGAGCGGAGGCGCAGCAAAAUGGGAGAGAGAGUUUCUUUAACAUAUAAGCUGAUUGAGCUAGGGUUUUGGUUUGCGGACAAUGCAAAAUGACAAAGUUAUCCUGG